rnacentral:rRNA from 1 species
AGAGUUURMUCAUGGCUCAGAACGAACGCUGGCGGCGUGCCUAACACAUGCAAGUCGAACGGGAUUGGGAGCUUGCUCCCAUGAGAGUGGCGCACGGGUGAGUAACGCGUAGAUAAUCUGCCUGAUGAUCCGGGAUAACACUUCGAAAGGGGUGCUAAUACCGGAUAACCCCACGGGGUCUUUGGAUUCUGCRGGAAAAGGGGGGGACCUUCGGGCCUUCUGUCAUCAGAUGAGUCUGCGUAMCAUUAGCUAGUUGGUAGGGUAACGGCCUACCAAGGCUACGAUGGUUAGCUGGUUUGARAGAAUGAUCAGCCACACUGGAACUGAGACACGGUCCAGACUCCUACGGGAGGCAGCAGUGGGGAAUUUUGCGCAAUGGGCGAAAGCCUGACGCAGCAACGCCGCGUGAGUGAUGAAGGCUUUCGGGUCGUAAAGCUCUGUCGAGGGGAAAGAAGUGUAUUGUGGCUAAUAUCCGCGAUACUUGACGGUACCCCUAAAGGAAGCACCGGCUAACUCCGUGCCAGCAGCCGCGGUAAUAC